AUAACUGCCGUGUUUUCCUACUGUUUAAAGGGUUGAAGGUUGGAUUUGAUAUAAAACUAUUCUGGGAAAGUUCACAUGGCGAAUAUUGUUACUAAUAAGCAAAACUAAUCCUAUACGAGCAUUGCUUUUCAACUAGAGCCAUGCAUUGGAAUCGCCUGUGAUUACACAAGAACCUGAUAACAUUGAUUGCCUGUGGGAAGGGGAGCUGGUGGCCAAUGGUUGAGAACAGGACUUUUUAUGCUGAUGUAGCCCAGCAGUUCCAGUAUGCUGUGCGGGUGAUUGGCAGCAACUUCGCCCCAACUGUUGAAAGAGAUGAAUUUUUAGUAGCUGAAAAAAUCAAGAAAGAGCUUAUUCGACAACGAAGAGAAGCAGAUGCUGCAUUAUUUUCAGAACUCCACAGAAAACUUCAUUCACAGGGAGUUUUGAAAAAUAAAUGGUCAAUACUCUACCUCUUGCUGAGCCUCAGUGAGGACCCACGCAGGCAGCCAAGCAAGGUUUCUAGCUAUGCUACGUUAUUUGCUCAGGCCUUACCAAGAGAUGCCCACUCAACCCCUUACUACUAUGCCAGGCCUCAGACCCUUCCCCUGAGCUACCAGGAUCGGAGUGCCCAGUCAGCCCAGAGCUCCGGCAGCGUGGGCAGCAGUGGCAUCAGCAGCAUUGGCCUGUGUGCCCUCAGUGGCCCCGCGCCUGCGCCACAAUCUCUCCUCCCAGG
rnacentral:sRNA from 1 species